UCUCUAGGGGCAGAGCCAAAGGCUGAGAACUUCUGGAGGCACCACAAGUAAGGAUCCUCCGGGCUCUGGAGGCACCACAAGCGUCCUCUGCAGAGAAAGGCGAGGAAAAGGAAGGCCAGAGAGGAGACACACAACCCAAGGUCACAUAAUAAAUUAUGAGCAGAAUCAGGACUAGAACCCAGAUCUGCUGUCUCCCGGGUUAGAGACUCUGCCUUCAGGGAGAAUAUAAAAGGCAAGUUGGCAGAGGCCUCAGUGGGUGAAAAGGGCCCACUGGAGUGGGCACAGCUCAGUGGAAGAAAACAUGGGUUCGGGAGAAAGACCUAGGUAUGGAUCCUGAACCGGCCACUUACUUGCCAUGAAUGACAUGAUUGCCUAUUUAGAAAUUUUGAAAG